CACGUAGUUAGCCGUGACUUUCUCACAGGGUACCGUCACUGUCUUCUUCCCCUGCGACAACAGUUUACAAUCCGAAGACCUUCUUCCUGCACGCGGCGUUGCUGCGUCAGGGUUGCCCCCAUUGCGCAAUAUUCCCCACUGCCGCCUCCCGUAGGAGUCUGGGCCGUGUCUCAGUCCCAAUGCGGCCGAUCAACCUCUCAGUUCGGCUACAGAUCGUCGCCUUGGUGAGCCGUUACCUCACCAACCAGCUAAUCUGACGCGAGUCCAUCCAUAAGCGAUAAAUCUUUCAAAAUUCUAUGAUGCCAUAAAAUUUCAAUAUGCGGUAUUAGUCCUCGUUUCCAAGGAUUAUCCCCCUCUUAUGGGCAGGUUACUCACGCGUUACUCGCCCGUCCGCCACUUUCCACCCAACAGUUCACCCCGAAGGGAUCACAAAUGGGUUUCUCGUUCGACUUGCAUGUGUUAGGCACGCCGCCAGCGUGUCUCGAGCGACGGAUCAACUAC
rnacentral:rRNA from 1 species